UCAAGCAAUAUCUGUAAGGAGACGCACUUCCUUGUUUGGAUAAUUCAAGCGGCAUUUGUGAGGAGACGCACUUCCUUGUUUUGAUAACUCAAGCAAAAUUGGAGCCCGCCCGAAGCACAAGGCGAAUAAAUGGAAUGUCAAAUAACAAAAUGAAGAAAUUAAAAGUCAGGCAACAAGUUAAAGAAAUUGCAAGUCAGGAGCCCACCUGAAGAAUAGGGUGAUAAAACUCAAGUCAAAAGUCCAAAAGAAACCGCAUAGAGAGGACUUUUGUAAUUUCAUUUAUGUUUUAACUUGUAAUUUUUGUUUUGAUGUAAUGACAGAGCCGCAGAUCGGAACCUCGACAGAACCUCGCUCGACUCUCCAACUCGGUAUAGUCCCUCUUCUUUCAGUCCUUGGGAUACCUGUGACUUGAUUCCCCCAUAACUAGGGAUAAGUAUGAUUUCCAAAGUCAAGACUUGGUUUUCCUCCUUCUUUCUAUUUCAUUCUUUUUGAAUAAUAGUUGGGACAAAAUUUUAUCUCGUUGUCUACUUCUUUGUUUGAAAACACUUCAUGUUUACAUUCAAAGGGGGCAUGUCGUAGAUACCUAAUUUUAUCCCUCCCAAGUCUAAUUUUAUUCAUUUUUACCUCACUUUAUUGUACACCCUCAUCCAUAUAAUUAUACCCUACAAAAAAAUAAUAACAACCCUUAACAUAAUCCUUAACAAAUUUUAUCUUGUUUUAAUUCUAUCCUAACCAACUUUACACCUCAUCCUAAUAACUUACCCAAUCAAAAUAGACACCUCACUCAUGGACCCCACAUUCCAUCAAUAUAAUUUCCAUUCACUGGAAUAGAUUAGGGGAGGCCUUUUUUUCCUUUCUCUUUGGACUUCUUAUCCAUUUUUCCAAAAACACACAGGUACAGGGGAUUUUCUUUUCUUCUUGACCAAUCCAUAUACACAGAAUAUACACACCACUGGAUUCUUUUUUUUCUCAACAUAGAACACACCGCGCCAUUUUUUUCCUUUUCUUAUUCACUGAUCACCACAAAAUCCCCAAUUCCACUGGCAUAGCAUUUUCACCAGCUCACUGAAAACUCAAAAAAUACACACAGUAAGAGGAAGAGAGGAGAGUGAGAGUAAGAGAUGGAGAGAGGCAUAGAGAGUUAAAAGAGAAACUGUGAGAAAUCGUUGAAGGUAAGAGAGAUUUAAGCAAACCAGAGAGAUUGAGAGAGAGACAGAGAGGCAAUUGGACUGCUUUCCGACAAAGCUCUCGCUGGUGACUCACUAGAAUUGCCACCGAGAAAGCUCCGCUAAUCUCGUUCCAACCAUGCUCGCAUCAAGAAGUUAAUACCGAUCCCGAUUUUCCAUCUGAAUCUCGUCGAAAAAUUCUGUUUCGUCCCAAUCAAUUCACCGUAAUCAGUUUUGGGUUCACUUUCUUGAUACCGAGUUGGAUUCUUGAUCGUGAUGGAGGGUUUUGUUCGAGGAUUUUGGAUGCGGAUUCUACCAGGUUAAUCGAAAUAAUACAUCGAUUUUUGAAAGCACUGAGGUCCAAUUCUAUCUCCUCUUUUUUUAAUUUUUACGUAAUCGUGAAUGAUUUAUGUGUUGGUAUGUUUGAAUCUUGAUUGUGUAUUGGUUGAUGUUGGAUUUGAAUGUUGAAAAAUGAAUUGAUAAUCGAUGCAUGUGUUAAUCAUUGGUUGAGAAUGAAUUUGGAGCGGAAUUGAAAAAUUGCUAAUCUUAAUUAGGAUUAAUUUUAAUUUUUUUGUUGUUUUGAUUCAUUGACGUCGUCGAUCGUGAUAGUGCCAUGAUAGAUCGAGUUGGGUAGGCAAAUAGUAGGUUCGGGUUGGCAAGUUUUAGGAAUUGUGGAAUGUUGAAUGCUCGAAACAUGUGUUGAAUGGCUUGGUUUUAUUGCUUUUGGAUCAAAUGUAUUAUUUGGCGGAAAAUGCCCUGAGAUAUUUGUGUUUAUUCGCCGGGAAAUGCCCCGCGGUAUUUUGUACUCGGAAGACGCCCGUGACGAAGGAUCGAGGCAUCAGGUAAAGCACUGGAGCAUAGUUUAGGAUUAGUGUAGGUUAGAAUAGGAUUUAUUUUUUCGCAUUUUUUAUUUUGAACUGUAUAAUUGGACUGAACACUAUAUUUUGGAUUUGUUUUGUUUCGUGUUUGAUUGAUUGUUUAUGUGUUUUUGUGUGGUUUAUACAUUUGUAAUGUCAAAUUAGCUGAUAUGCUCCACCAAGCGACCGUGGGCGAACCAUGGGAUCGAGGGAUGCCUAACACCUUCCCCUCGGUCAACAGAAUUUCUUAGCCGGAAUCUUUGUCGCAAACCAGUUUUGUAAAGAGUCAAAUCAUUUCGAAAAGGAUUCUCCAAAGGUGACUUGGCACACCGGAUUAUGUCAAGUGACGACUCUGAAUAAAAAAUAUAAAUAAUUCUUUUUCGAAAUAAAUCCUCAUUUUUGUCACUUUAAUAAAUAAAAUCCUUUCGAAACCCAUAAAAAUAAUUUUUCUUGGAGUUAAAAAGGGGUGUGACAUAUACAGUUACUUAAUAAUAAAAAUGAUACUUCCUUCAUCCCAUUUUACUCGUCUAAGAUUUCUUAAUUUAAUUUUUUAUUUUACUUGUCAUUUUUCAUUAAUCAAGACAAGACAACUUUUUCUUUUCUUUUUUACCCUUAGUAUUAAUUAUUUUUUUCUCCAAAUUAAAAUGUAAACAUAAUUUAAUAGGGAUGCGAUGGUAAAGUAGGUAUGUUAUUAAUUAUUUUUCUUAAUCAAUAUGCAAUGCCAAAUUGAGACGAGUAAAAUGAGACGGAGGAAGUAUAAAAAAAUGUAAAAAUCUUUCGUGCUUUACUAAAAUUAAUAAGUAAAAAGUAAUUAAUUUCAAUAUAAGAAAUAAAUAAAAAGAAACAAGGUGAGAUUUAUUAAAAAAAUAAAUUACUACUGUGUCUCAUUCAAUUACAAGGGUCCAAAUAGAAAAUAAUAGAAUAAUAAGCGAGAACAAAUGAUUCAAUCCGUGUUGUUUGGCAUGCAGGCCUAUUGGGCUCAAUUCUUUACAAUUCCUACUAAAGUUGUCAAAGUGAUUGAUGCGUAUUGUCAGAGUUAUAUGUGGUAUGGGGCAAACACAAUCACUAAAAAGGCAUUAGUAGCAUGGGAUAAGGUUUGCUCACCUAUUGCCACAGGAGGACUAAAUCUGAUUAACUAGAGAUUCUGGAACAAAAUUGUUAUUGCAAGAUGUAGACAAUAAAGCGGACAAAUGGGUGAGAUGGGUUCAUACAUGCUAUAUAAAAGACAGACUUUUCAAUGAGGUUCCUAAGGCAUCUUGGAUGAUCAAACAAAUCAUAUCUGCUAGAGACAUUGUUGCUUUAGUUUGUCAGGUUUCAACUUUCUCUCAUAACCUCAUCAAACAUUUCUACCAUGCUCUCCUUCCUGUUGAACCAUCUACGCCUUGGAAAUGCUUGAUGUUUGAGUAUGAUGCACGAUCAAGGCAAAAUUUACUAUGUGGCUUCAUUUUCAUGGGAUAUUACUAACUAUGGACAGACUUCUUAAAUGGAGUCUCAAAAUUUCUCCUACUUAUGUUCUAUGUCUAAUGCAAGAUGAAACUAAGGAUCAUCUUUUCCUUUCUUGCCCUUUUGCAAGACCCUCUGGACUCGGGUGCUUCGCUAGAUACAUAAAGAUGCAAUCACUAUAAGUACAUGGGAGGACUAUACAACGUGGGUCGUAAAGAAUGCUAAAGGAAAAUCUCAAGAAGCAAGAAUAUAAUCUUCAAACUUGUCUUUGUUAAAUGUGUACACUCUCUCUGGAUUGAAAGAAACCGAAGAAUAUUUGAGGAAAAACAGAGGACAUGUGACAGCCUUGCAAAAGAAUUAGCCCACACCUACAUUACUAGAGAUAAACCAACAAUCAGUACUCUUCUGCAUAAUUUUCAUUUUUGGCUAGCUUGACUAUUG